rnacentral:rRNA from 1 species
UACAGAGGGGGCAAGCGUUGUUCGGAAUUACUGGGCGUAAAGGGCGCGUAGGCGGCCUGUUAAGUCGGACGUGAAAUCCCUCGGCUCAACCGGGGGACUGCGUCCGAUACUGGCGGGCUUGAAUUCGGGAGAGGGUUGUGGAAUUCCAGGUGUAGCGGUGAAAUGCGUAGAUAUCUGGAGGAACACCGGUGGCGAAGGCGGCAUCCUGGACCGACAUUGACGCUGAGGCGCGAAAGCCAGGGGAGCAAACGGG